UUCCAAAAACAGUUUUCAGGAGUCUUGAGUGCACUGAUUAGAAUUUUUCACAACUCAACAAGCCACUAAAUAUUGCUGUACUGUAAACAAGUGAAAUGAAGGACUUUUCCCUGAGAUGACACAGUAGGAAGUAAUGAGUUCUGUU